rnacentral:antisense_RNA from 1 species
CUUCAGCGACCCCAGCCACAGCGGCUCCCGCUCGCCGCGCUCCCGGCCGUAGGUGGCCAGCAGCGCCUGGGCCUC